rnacentral:sRNA from 1 species
CAAAUAUGGCCGAUGGCCUAUAUACAGUAACAGAUUCCUGGGCUAAGAUUUCUGACGGACACACUACAGUCGGCCUAUCAGAUCCUGUCUUGACUUAUGUCGCCAAGCUAUUACGGAUCUUUGCGACUUCGGAUACUUAAGAAUGUGGGUUUCAAUUACAGCGGACUCCGUCCCACCCAUGAUGGAACGUCAUAUAUGUCGUAGAACAUGGACUAAAUCGUGCCAAUUUGACACCCACGUUUCGACUACAUCCAUUAUGAAAUGCGACUCGUGAAUAGCUUGGAUUCAAGAGAGUGGUCGUACGUGACCGAAGAGAGACAUGAAUCAGUCGAAGAGUUGUCGACUCAUGUAUGGCGAUCGCCUUGCAACAUGGAGACUGAUCCUUGCUUCUUGAAAGAUUAAAGUUGACCUCAAAAUUCUAGUUUCAAAAAGGAGGGGUUUGUUCAGUUGGCGAGGGAUGGUAAC